CCUACGGGUGGCAGCAGUGAGGAAUAUUGGUCAAUGGACGAGAGUCUGAACCAGCCAAGUAGCGUGAAGGAUGACUGCCCUAUGGGUUGUAAACUUCUUUUAUAUGGGAAUAAAAUGUUCCACGUGUGGCAUUUUGUAUGUACCAUAUGAAUAAGGAUCGGCUAAUUCCGUGCCAGCAGCCGCGGUAAUACGGAGGAUCCGAGCGUUAUCCGGAUUUAUUGGGUUUAAAGGGAGCGUAGGUGGAUUGUUAAGUCAGUUGUGAAAGUCUGCGGCUCAACCGUAAAAUUGCAGUUGAAACUGGCAGGCUUGAGUACAGUAGAGGUGGGCGGAAUUCGUGGUGUAGCGGUGAAAUGCUUAGAUAUCACGAAGAACUCCGAUUGCGAAGGCAGCUCACUGGACUGCAACUGACGCUGAGGCUCGAAAGUGUGGGUAUCAAACAGGAUUAGAUACCCCAGUAGUC
rnacentral:rRNA from 1 species